rnacentral:lncRNA from 1 species
UACUUAAAUGCAAAGUCUGCAUUAAUUUAUCUUGUUCUGAAUGGCCCCAUAUUUAUUAGUAAGGUGGAUUUGCAGGUUUUAACUUUUAAACCUCAAAUUCCUGCUUUUAAAUUCCCAUUUAGAAAGCUUCAAAAGAAUGACAAGUCACUUAGUGCAGUUACUAGAAUCAUUUUUGAGGACCCAUAAUCAGCAUCUACUUUGAAUAACAAUUGAAAGAGCUAAGAGGAAUUACUUCAUUCAUCUUCAAACAAGGCUACAUGGAAAGAGCAGAGGAAGACUGAGCAGUUCGUAGUGCACACACGAUACAUACCAAAGUAAGAUUGCAGUAUGCUACAUCUAGCACACUUAUUUAUGGCUCGCUAGCAGAAAACCAAAACACCAUCUAAGCAUAACAGGCUCACAAACUCGGUCUAGUUAUUACAACCAUGCAUGAGUAAAAUCAUGGACGAAUUGGUGCUGGAACACUGCCACCACCUCCAGGAAUGGGAACCUCAUAGCCAGGGUUAGGAACAAAGGUGUCAUCACCACCGGGAACAUAACUGCGUCCUGGUCGACCCGAUCCUGAUCCGGCUCCAGCUCCUGUUCCAGCUCUUCCAGCGCCACCAGUAAAUGGAUUCUGGGGUAUAAGCCCAUGCUUUGGUGGAAAUCCUACUGGUCCAACGCCUGGAAUGUACACUCUGCCAUCAUGCUUGAACAAGAACUCAGGCUCUUUCUUGUCCUGGGUGUUAGAGUUCAUGGCAAUGUUGCUUCGUCCAGCAACUGCGACAAGGAGGAUAUUGGAGAUGAGAAGGAGUGAGAGUAAAAGGGAAACUCUGUGAGCCAUUCUCUCUCAGAUAACAAGUGCAAAGAGGUUAUCAGUGAUGUGUAUUCUGGUAUUCAACAACUUUUGAGUUGAAGAAGCUAGAAGGGGGUGACUGCAUUAUAUAGUUCUAGAUUCUGCAGUAUUGAGUGAACUUUGGCGGUGAGUAAAGUGUUUCUUGAGGAAAUGUCGCUGGCAGGGUCGUGGUUCAUGAAUCAUGAUGCAUGCUAGUAAAUCAUUUGUUCAGCCUCAGUUUAUUAUUACCAUUUGUAGAAGAUAUUCACCAAAGUUGUAUCGGCUACUAAAUGCAGCCUUCACAUGGCUGAUUUAUGCACCGUAAUAUGUAGAAAUCUUGGGAUUGCUUCUACCUACAUUCUAGAUGUUUUAUUACUUUCACUUGCUAGUUGUUACUUGAGCAUUUUUUAAGCUGAAAGAGAAGUGGUAGUUAAUGCACUAUGUAGCGGCACUUUCAACAUGCCCUUUUCACACCGUAAAAUAUUUGUAGGCAUACCCAUUGUGCAGAUAUCCAACAGACAAGAUAUCCAGAGUGAGAAAGAAAGAAUUGAGAGAGAACUAACUAAUGUGAUAUACGAUGGAAUAAAAAGAUAGGAAGAGAAAUGAGAAAUCUGUUGGAUGUCUGUACUGUUUGUAUGUCUGACUAUCAUUCACAAUCCAGUGAAAAAGAACAAUUGUUUUUAAGGAAAACGUUACCAACACUCAUUUUUAACACUUUUUCAUUAAUGAUUGAAAUUAAUAUUGGUCCACUAAAAAUAUUGGUUCCCCAUCCAAUUCACAUAACUCAGAUUCUCUUCUUCAUUUUGCAUCUUCCUUCGUUUCCUGGGCUUGAACCAUCAUGGGCUUGGCCCAUUCACCAUUUAGCUGCCCCUUCCCUUGAACUCCACUAUAUUGGGAGUUCAAUUUUGUAUUUCCCACCACCUUAGAUCAUAUUUUGAAAUUGAAUUUAACGGUGCUCACUAGGGUGGGCACUUUGCAUUUUGGUCCACUGGUGGACUAGGGGAUAUUUUAGACUUUUUCGUUCCUUUCUUUCUCCCUUCCACUCUACCUUCCACACUACCUUGAGUACCAUCCUCAACAGAACAUGAAACGCCCUUUUACUCUGAUGAUUCUGAUUAUUAAGCUGCUUUAAUAUACUGGACAUUGAAAUUGAAAUUUCCAAUUUCCAUUACUUAUUAUUAUUUCUACUCCUCGAUCUCAAAUGAUUUCAAUCUCUGUAAUAUUUGUUUGUGUUAAAUUUCUAUAUAAACUAGAAAACAAAAGGAUCCAUGGAAAUGCAUGUUAGCUCACCCCUAUAUUAUAUCAAUUCUUCAGAUUUUUGUCAAACCCACACCCACACAUACAGAUCUGAAACAAAUGUAGUUUGCUCCUGAUUCUGGAAUUGGAUUGAUCGAUCCUUAUUUAAUUUCCGUUUUUUAACAGUGUUGCUGCUACUCCUCCUUUCAAGACCAGUGUUGAAAAUUGGUUCUGUCAAUCGAACCCAGAUCUGAAGAGUGGCGACACGGUGAACGCGUGGAUCGAGUUCGAUGGGUCCAUUCAGGGGUUGAAUGUUUGGGUCUCGUAUUCCAAUCUGAAACCGAAAGAUCCCAUUUUAUCGAUGAAUCUUGACAUGGGUCCGCUUCAACGCAUGAUAACAUGGAGACUCACCGGGUGGGUGGAGUGGUGGAGCUUCAACUCGUCAUUUGGUGGAACAGGUUUCUCAACAGCGUCGUCGCCGCCGCCGCUCCUUCUCCGGACCCGUCCGAAAAUACAUCGAAUGAGAUUUGGGAGCGGUUGAUGGGGUUGUCACUGCAGGGGCUUUCGUUUUGGCUCUGUUUGCAGGGUCGCUGUUUUGGGUUUAUUCUAAGAAGAUGAUGAAGCAAGUUAACCGUUCUGAUUCUCUUGGAUAACUGGUAUUAUGCAAGGCCAGCAAAGGCACACCCUCAAUGCACUUUCUCUGAACUAGUCACGCAAUACCCAUGACCAAAACAACCAGAAAAAAAGGGUCUUUUUACUUUUUUACCCUUUGAUCAUCCAUCAAAUCCUAGCCAUCUAAAUAAAGAAUAUUCCAAGAUUCUUAAAUCCAACGGUGUUUAAGUUUGGUCCACCGGUGGACCAAAAUGCAAAGUGCCCACCCUAGUGGGCACCGAGUUUAACUCCUACCUUAUCUCUAGAAACCCUAACAUGCGAAUUAUCAAGUGUGAUCUCCUUGUGGCUUCUUCUCACUUUGCUUAUCAAUCUUCUACAUGAUGAUUGUGGUUUAACCAUCCAUCACUCUUUUCUCCUUCCAUCUUUGUAUUUUCUUCUUCCAAAAAUUCAUCUCAUUUUCUAUUUCCUUUCUUUCUUUUCAUUUUUUUCCCACUUUUCUUCUACAUACCAAACAUACUUAUACAUGGUUUGUUUAUAAGGAAAAUGAGUGGAAUCAAAAGGGGAGGAAGAGAUUAUGAAUGGAAAAGUGUGUAUUCCAUGGUUGGGAUAAGUUGAAAAGGGUGGGGGAUGAAUAGAAAUAAUGUUUUGUUCAUAUUUCUUAUCAUCUCCAGCUUCAAUCUACAUUUGACAAUCCGGCAAAAAAUUUCUUGUCCAAAUUUUAAUUUCUAUAUUGGAUACAUUGAAUUGAAGUUUGCAAGUAACACUAAAACAAAACAUACACAAACAUUAUCGUUGUGUUUGCACUAACGCUCAAAAUAAACAACUUUCUUAACAGAGUGUAAGCAAAAUAUAUUAGGAACAAUUUUUUUCUCACUAGAAAACCGAAAAAGUAAAAAACAAAAAUGAGAUGGUCGAAAAGUGUAAGCAUAUAUGAUUGAAGUUGCAGGGCUCACAUCACAAAUAAUAACCGAAUCUCAUCAAUGAAUGUGAUGAGUUGAAGUUCAAGAAGACAGGUCACUCAAGUUGUCGUUGAAUGUUUAUAUCAUCAAAAACUAAUAAUAUAACUUGGAUAAAUUUUUUUUAAAAAAAUUAGUGCAAUUUAUUUAAUAUUCAUUUACAAGUGAAGAGCUUUGAUAUAUAUUUUUUAUCAUAAAUUCUUAUAUAUUAAAUUUUUAUAAUUUAUUCAUUUGUAUUUUAAAUAAUGAACUGAAUAGGGGAAAAGAACUCUUCCAUUUUAGAAUGUUACGGAAAGAACGCCAAAAUAUUUAAUAGUUUUAUUAAAUAAAAUCAAUACAUUUGACAUAAUUGACAUAAUAUAACUAAUAACGUUCCUUUUACGUUAGUCUUUUCCGAUUGGGCCCCCAUGCAGCUUUUUUAUGGCUUAUCAUCAUUUAUCAUGAUUCAGUUUACUUUACAUAAAGCUUUCAAUUAUACAUUUCCUUAAUAAGUAAUUUCCAGUUCAUGAUAAAAUGUUCUAGAUUUAGUUGGAGAUAUAUAUUUCAGUAGUAAUGGCACUCUAUCACCAAACAUUCAAAUUUGUUGGGAUUCAACAUUACCGGUAAAUCGUAUCCUUGCCAUUUUCCAUUUCAAAAAAAAUAAACAUUACCGGUAAGAAGAAGAGAAUGAAUAUUCCAUGAGCAUGGCAUACUAUAUAUAUAUAUAUGUUAAUUGUCAAAUUAUUCUUUGAAUUUAUAAGUGAGUUUGAUUUUAAACCCUCUUAGGAAAAAUGACGUUUAGUAACGGUCAAAAACCGUCAUUAAUUGUAAAAAUGACCACCCCUAAACGUUUUUUUCCUCAUAGAGACUAAACUAAAAUUAAACUCGCUUAUAAAGUCAGGGACUAAUUUGACCAUUAAUCAUAUAUAUAUAUAUGUGUGUGAGAGAGGGGGGGGGAAUCAACUUAGGGUCCGUUUUGAAACGAACCAAAAAGCACUUAUUCGAACUCUGCUCUCUGACAGUGACCAAAACCAAACUGGCUACAAUCGUGGGGAUGGGGACCAAGUUAUUUUCCGGGAAGAGACUAAAAUCAAAUUCUCUUACAAACAAGUGAUUAAUUUAAUGAUUAAACCUUAAUUUAAUUACUAAAAAAAUGAAUUAUUAAUCGCAAAAGUUUAAAAAUAAAAUUAUAUUAUUAUAAAUACAGUAUCCAACACAAACUUAGAAGGACUUUUAGGCUAAUGAAACAAUUUGUUCCUUCUACUUCUUCUGCAUUCAAACUCAAACAAUGGACUUUAGCUUACUUGCUGGAAUACUUUAGUGUUUGCUUGAUUUUCAAUUGAAAACCAUCCCCAAUUUAUGUUUAGCAAAGACAAGAAUUUUCCCUUGAAAAAUGUUGCAUUAUAUCUCAAGAUUACCUUUGCAAGAAUGCAAUCUGAUACAGAUAAACAUCUCAAUGCCUGUUAUCACCGCCUUGCAUUAUGCUGAAACACUUACAUUUUGUGACCUUAACUAAGCAUUAGUUUUCUACAAGUACUUUUAGUAAACAAAAGAGCAUCAAAAUGAUACCACUUCCACAAAAUUCUACUAUCUUGAAAUCACUGUUGCACCAGGUAUUAACAAUAAUCUAUCAUGAAUUUGGCCUUUCCUCAGAAAAUCUAGGAAGUUGAACAAGCGAGUUUACCCGAGUUACCCCCUCCAAACCUGACCAGUUUUGAUCAUCAGCGUAUGAUGUUGCAUCUUCAACAUCGACAGGUACUGCUCCAUUAGUCUCAUCUUCUUCCGAGGAUCUCACUGUGAAGUUCCUCUGCAAACAUGGCUCUGAUUUUUGUCCAUCAUCUGACUCAAUUGGGUUGCCUGAAUGGUUGCUCUGGAUGGUUGCAGAAGAAAAGCCUUGUUCAUCAUAAUCUGAUUCUGAGUCCAUUUUCCCAUCCAGAAAUAAGCACACAACAGCACAGUCAUCCAUCCUUGAAGUUGGAUAUUUAAGUUUCCACUCCCGAGCAGCGGAAUUUACCACUGUUCUAGCUGCUGAUGCUCGCGUUGGGGAUGAAGAUACAAUCUCAACCACCUCCUCAUUGCUUAAAACAUCCCAGACCUGAACAAAGCAUUAAGAGAAUCAAUAUCAUUCAGUGGAAGAUGGAAACUCAAAAGUCGAUAUCCUCUAAGUUACGUCCACUUCCCUUAUACUUGCACAUUCAAAGAACUUACUAUUUUCUUUUCCAUAUUAGAUAUUUCAAUGAAUAGCAUUAUUAUGUAGCGGAAAUGUUUUUCUACGUAGAUUGUAUAUAAACAAAGUUACUUUACAGCUCUUGUGCCUUUCAAAUGAACGAAUUGGUAUAUGACCAACAUUUUUUGCAACACCUUUCACGUAGAAAAUAUUUUCUGCGUAGAUUGUAUAUAAGCCAAGUUAAUUUACAGCUCUACAUGAAAGGUGUUGCAAAAAAUGUAGGUCAUAUAAUGUUCAUGCUAAAACAAACUUAUCCCACGAAUGAAAAGAAGAUAACUCUAUUUGGCAACCCAAAGAGAGGCUCUUUGUUUAUCUUCCGUUCAACUCCUGAAAAAUCAGAUAUCAGCACUUCACUCUUGUACCCCAAAAGAAAAAAAGAUAAGAAUAAUUCAAUAACAGGCCAGAAUGAGAAAGCUUGCAUUAUGAACAGAAUUUAUAUAUUUCUUCAUAUUGAAGAGAGCUUAUUGCUUAAGAAAUACCGCCGUCUGAGUUGUCAGAAUGCCAGCUAAUUUAACUGUAAUGGUGCAGAUUGACAAACAGCCCGAGAAGUUACUGGUUCAGUCAAAUUGCUAAACACUCUAUUUCCACUCAAUGGUUAGUUUCGAAAAGACACUUCUCAGUUUCCUUAUGACCAUAUGGUUCAUGCUAUGCUAGCCUAGAUAUUUGCCUACACUGACCACAUUUUCUUAUUUCAAUAUCACAGCUCGACCUUGUAAGAUGAUUUCUUCAAGGCAGCAACAAAGCCAUAUUAACCAACAGAAACCAACCUUGAAAUUGCAGAUCAUGUAUGCUAAAAUUUCCUAGUCGGACAGGGAUAAAAAUCAUAACACAAUUUCUGAAAUGGCAAAGCAUAAUUAAACAAAGUACUAAAGAAAUUGAUAUGACAUUGAAAAUUCUUAAUCUUACCCCAUCUGAGGCAAUUACAAUGAAUUGAUCUCUGUCUGUAAGUUGCCGGUGAGAAAAUUCUGGUAUGGAAAUCACACCAUACUCCUUCAAGCAGAAAUCUCCAAAUGCUCUAGCCAUUGCUAACCCUGGUGCAUCAUCAAAAGGCAACCACACCCUCGGCACUUCUGGCUCAUCUUGUAAAGCAAAUACCCUACCUUUGCAUCGCUUAAUUCUUUCUGCUUCCCCUAUAAGAGUUUCCAUCCAAGUUGGUGUCAAUAUCAACAGAAAAGCAUAUAUUCAACAGAGAAUAAAUGACGAUGGCAUAAGACAUACUUGGCAAAUCAGGCUUCAAAUCAACAGUCAACUGAACUGCCACCAUGGAGUCAUUGCUGUCCUUGGAUCCCAUGAUUGCUCGAGAAUCCCCGAUACUGGCCAUGAACAGAUUUGAACCCUGUUGAGAUAAGAAAUUAUAAAAACUCAAUGUGUUUGGAUGGGGAUUUAAUUGAGAGAAUAAAUUUGUUGAGGGGAUUUUACAUUGCUUAAUCCAAAAUACAGGAUAUCAAAUCAGAGUAUCUUGAAAAUUAAGGUAAUUUUAUAGGGUAAUUUCCUAACUCAAAAUAAAAGAUUUAAAAUUCCAUCCUUUUUAGAAGGAAUUUUUGAAAAUCCCUUCCCUCAAACUCUCCUCCUUUACCCCUCACCCUCAACCUAUCAAAUAUUCUCCACCAAAUUUCUUAAUUCCUGACAAAAGACUCAAAAAAUGACAAUAAUCAAAAUAAACCAAGUUAUUAUUUUCUUGAAAUUUUGAAUUGUACAUCCAAACACAGUAAAGUUAUGGAAAACAAGAGUUCAGAUCUGCUACCUGCUUUAUUAUAGUCACGGCUGUGCUCCCACUACAGAAGCAGUCUAGAUUUGGAUGAGACCUGAGUUCUUUGUCCAUAGCCUUGUAUGCCUUCAUUAAAGCUUCUCUCCAUGUCGAGUUCAGUUUAUCCUCGGCAGAACAAUCAUUCUCAGACUCUCCACUGUCAGGUUUUAUGUUCCCUUUGAAGCAACCUUUACCCGACCCAUUUCUCUUUGAUUCACCAGAAUGCAAAAAUGAAAGCAGUUUCAAUGGCAAGGUAUCCCUCACUUUGCGUGCAACAAGAUGACCAUGUGGACCAUGGCCAUCAAAGACACCACAAAAGGUCAUAUCUUCAGACAUGAAAUCCUGCAAAGCACAGAUUCAAAUUAGUAUGUUAGUCACUCCUUCAAUCACUCAUGAGCAAUGCUCAUGCAUCACCCGUAAUAAGAUGAACAUACUUACUUCCCACACAAUCAUGGCGUCCUGAUUAAUACCCUUGCGGCCUUGCUGCGUGAAUAUGCAGGACCCGCGGCUCUUUCCAUUAGCGAAAAUUCUGCUGGGUAAGGAGGGUAAAUGGUGUAGAGAAAUAACAUGAUCAGAAAAUGUUCUCCUUGUUGCUCUCUUUUGCCCACAGAAUCCAACUUCCAAGCAAGAUGGAGAGACCCUCUCUCCAUUGCUCCUGCUGCUACAAGUGCUUUUACUACUUGUUGAGACACAACAACCCAUCUGCUACAAAGUUGCUUCUCUUUUCCACUGUAGAUCUAAGUCUGGUCAAUUGAGCUAACAAUCCUAAACUCCAAAUAUUCUCUCAAGCCAAAAUAUAAGCCACUUUACAACUACUCACUGUAGAAAAAUGGGGCCUUUCCUCCACUGUCAAAUGAAGCUAUUUGAAAGGAUAAUGAAACCAGCUGAACACAAGAAAACAGGUGACUAUAUUAGUCAACAUAUGGUCUUCAAAAAUCAAGUCAUUGCAACAAGUAAAAAUAAUAGUAUAAAAAGAGAAAAACUCAGCAAAACAGGUAAAUAGACUAUACUAAAAAUUUGUCUGUAAUUGACAGGGUCAAAUGGAGGCUUUGCAAUAGUUUAAUCCAGAAACUGCUCAUUAAAAACUGAACCAAACAAGGGCACAAAAACAGGACACAAGAAACCUUGUCCUAUUACCAUGUUUCAAACGGGUUUAGACCCAAAGUUUCUGUCUUUCCUUUUUACUAAACAUAGAUAUUAGAUAUCAUCAGGCAGAUAAAAUAAAUAACUAGGCCAAGAAUCUCUAUAUGCACGCUCAACACAAUAAUAUAUUUUACUCAAGUUUACUGCAGAAGAGUUUCUCUCUCUUAAAUUCAAAACAACCCCAAACUAAACAAAAAUAAAAAGCCAUAGAAGAGGAGAAAAGAGGAGGAAACUUUGCAAAAAAAUUGAAAAAUAAACUUUUUGGACUAAUAAAGCAUCAGAAAGAAAGAAUAUUCAACAUAAAGAAGUACUAAAAAUAAAAUAAAAAUUGAUGUACUUGAACUCACGAAUCUGAAAGAGAUCCAACUUUGAAUUGGAAUGAAUACAUGAUAUGAACAAAACCAUUCAGUUACAGAACAAGAUUGUCCAUAGCCUGUCCUCAAUUGAUAUAUGGUAAUAAUGCAAAAAAGCCUGGUUCCCACUACACAGAAAUACGAGAAGAGAUGAUAAAGUAAGAAAACCCAAAAGCAGAAAAAGACGAAAGUGACUACGAUCUCUUCAACAAAGAAUCAAAAGAGACCCAAAAAAGGGACUAGAAGUUGAAGAUCAAGUAAAUGUUACGUAAUUAUCAUUAAAUUAAAGAGCAAUAGUGAAUUUCUAACAAAUAAUUAAGCAAAUUGUCCCCAUGAAAAUGAGGGUCAAACCAACCAAAAAAAUAGCAAAAAACAAGUAGAAACGUUCACAACACGAUGAGUAGUAGAAGAAAGUAACAGAACUGAUAACUACAAAACAGAACCCAAAACCGAAAAGGUGAAUACCCAGAUGAAAAAAAAUGCAGAAACAAGAGAAAUUAGGCAUUGAAUGAUGCAGAUCCUUCAUGAUCAAUUAUCCAAAGCAAGCAACAAAGCAAACUCAAAACGCAUGCCCACAUGGUAAAAAUGGAGGGGAUUGAACCAGUGCAAGUAAACAUGGAAAAUCAAGGGGGAAAGAUGAAAUUUUGUGACAGUUGUGAAGUGGGAAAAUGGUGGAGGUUAGAGAUUGAUUACCUUUCUGAGAAUGCAGGGGAAUAAGGUUGAGGAUCAGAGAAGAGCAGAGAGAGAUGAAAAGGAGUGAAAGAGAGAGGGGGUUUGAGUAUUAAUAAGGGAAAGUAGUAGUAGUAGUGUGGGUGUGUAUGGAUGGGGAUGGUAGUGCUGCAUUCAUUGCAAAAGCAGAGAGAGAGAGAGAGAGAAGACAGAGCAGAAAGAAAAGAGAAAAGCAGGGAAGAUAUGUCAAAAAAGAACAUAGUAAGAUUGUUAAUUUGUAAAAGUAGAUUUGGAUUGGUCCAUUUUAAUAGGGUGAGUCAGAAAAAAAAAUUAAUUAUAGUAAAGUUAUUAAUUAUUAUUAUUCAAUUAAAUUUUAUAAAAGUUAGUUUUAAUCUCUACUUAAUUGCACUUUUUUGUCAAUUUAGUAUCGCGAUUGUGUGAAAUUGUGUGAAGCACUCGCCAUGUUUUAAAAUGAUCGAUUUAGUUCUUUAUAGUAAAUAAAGAUCAUUGUAUACCAAGGGUCUAUUUGGUGGAUAUGAUAAGUAGACAGGAUAUGAUAGUGUAGUCAUAUCGUGCUCUAAUAUGUUGUUUGUUGUGCCAACUGGAUAAGAUAACGCAAUCAUGUCCCUUAUCCUAUCAUCUUCAUCCUAUGAAAAUAUUAUCCUUAGGAGAGAGAUGAGAUAAAGUUAUCCUGAUAGGAUAUGAUAUAUGUUAUCGAUUAUUUUUUAGUACCAUAACCCUAAAUUCAAUUAUUUCGAUAUUUAUAUCUUAUAUAAUUUAUAAUAAUAUUAAUUAAUAAAUAUAGAACUAUUAAUUUUAGUAAUAUACUAAUUUUAUUAUUUAUCAAUUUCUAGUUGUUGUUGUUAGGUUAAAAUUAUUUAGUAACUCAUUAAUUUAAUUAAAAGAUAAACUAUUUUAUUAAGGGUGAAAAUAUUUAAUUUUCUCAUAUAAAAUAAUUAAAUUAUCAUUAUCACUUGUUACUACUUAUUUAACCUUUUUUAUUUACAUUAUAAUAAAAAUAAAUAAAUUAUUAUUCACUAAUAAGGAAAUGGACUACUCACUUCACUGAUAAAUUAAUUUAUUAGUAGUAAAUAUAAACUAAUUUUAUAUUAUCAUUUGAAAUUAUUUAAAAAUAUUUCUCUACUUGUAUAGUAAUUUAUAAUGUAAAUUGUAAAUUACUAUAAAAUUUUGAAAAAUAAAAAUUUUAAUUUUUAAUUUUUAAUUUUUUAUCACUUGCCACUAAUAAGAACUAAGUUAAAUCCAAUUGGUUAAAUAUAAAAUUUUAAUUUAAUUAAAAUAGAAUCCCUUCAUGGAAAAAUUUAAAAUAGGCUAGUCAAUAUAAAUUAAUUAACUAUUUUCCGAUGCACCAAAAGAAAAUAUAAAUUAAUUAACUUUUAGUCAAUUUUAAAAUAUAGGCUCUUUUAUAAAAAUAUAAAAACAAAUUAAUAGAAUAAUCACUUUGUUUUAAAAAGUUAAUUUAAGAAAACUAAUUUUUGAAAAGUAUUAUGUAUUUUGUAUUCAAAGGAAAAUUUGAUAUAUUUUACAUUGUUCUAUCAUAUCCUAACAUUAUCAUGUCCACCUCAAACACAAGAUAUGGUAAGAGUCUCUUCUGCUCUUAUCAUAUCCUGUCAUUAUCCAACUCUCUAUCCUACCAUGCUUUUAUCAUAUCUUGACCACUAAACAGAUCCUUAUAUUUUACUCGAUUGGAUGACCACCAAACGGGCAAUUAUUGUUGCUUAAUUACAAAAAUAAAGCUUGCUAAAUGUUAUAAUGCUAAUACAAAAUAAUAUAAAUAUUGUUUUAUUUAAGUCAACAUACUCGUCAACCCCCGAGUAAAUCAAUGGUCUACCAUGCGCAUCACAAGCAAUAUCCUCUACAUGUCCAGGAUCUCUUAAUCUCUCUAUUCAACUCACCAAAAUCUCAACUUUCACUAUCAAUAAUACAAACAUUAAUGUCAUCUAGUGAAGGAGUUGAAUCGUGUAUGUUUGAUGAGGAUCUGAUUUGUCGAGGUUGCUCUGAACGUCCUCUCGAUGGAUCCAUGAAUGUUGGUGGUGGAAUGACCCACAGAGGAUCUGGUGUCAAAAUCGGUGGGGAUGAGAAGAUGAGUGUUGAUUGUGCGCAAUCAUAACACUAUCAACGAGAUUCCUACGUGAAGACUUCAUCUUUAAAGAAGAAAACUGAUAAAGUGCACGAACCUCCCAAUCGGGCAAGCUCACAACCAUUUGAUGGAUCGCAUGAUGACAUAUGUUUAAUUUAUAAUUGUGCUUAUCGACAAUAAUUAGUAUGUAGAUUUAGCAGUGUUAAGGAAACCGAAUUGUAGCGGUCGGUCCGACCGGGAACUGAACUAUUGACCAGUUCGGUCAGGUCAUUGAACCAGACAAUUAUUGAACUGGAAAGUUGGACUAGUGAACCGAUCAAGAAUCAAGAAAAUCAGUCAGUCAAUGGUUUUAGGAGAAAAUAUUUUUAAAAUAAAUUUUGUCAUCAUUAUGAUUUGAACCUUAGACCUUGCAGUUCCAAAAAGCAUUGUAUGUCACCAGGCCACAAGCUCUUUUGUAUUUAAUUAUGUGUAGUUUUAUAUUUAUUAUAAGUAUCCAGUGAUUGGAGAAACAUAUCAUUUAAGACACAUAUUUUUAAUAAUAUAUUCAUAUUACUUAAUAUAUAUGUGUAGAUUUAUAUAUCUAGCAUUAAUAUAUAUAUAUAUAUUAUAAUUAUUAUAUAGAAGAAAAAUAAAUUUACAAGUAUAAAGUCUUUACGGUUCAACUCUUUUAUAUUACGGUUGAACCAUCAAAUUUUGAACCAGUACCUAUGCCGGUUCGAUAAUUAUUCCGGUUUUAAAACAUUGAAAUUUAGUGAUCCACAACUUAUAUACACCCUAAUAAAUUAGAUGUAUAGCUUAAAUAGCUCAAUCAGUAUUUUUGCAAAUUUCAUACAAUUCUAAAUUUAUAACUUGAUAUAUAAUUUUCAUAGAUCUUAUACAAACAUAAUUCUAAAAAAUAAGUAUCAAUUACUAACGUCAAUAUAAACAAUCUCAAGUGCAAGGAACCCCACACUGCAACACGAUGAGAAUCGCAUGUUAAUAAUCACUAAUAAUAUUAUUUUUACACCCAAUAUUCACUCACAUUUGGAGUGAGAAAGAGAGAAAGUGAGAAAAAUGUGGGAUAUGAUGAGAAAAAGAUAAAAGAGAUUAGAAUGAUAUAGCUAGUUUUCCUCUUGUAAAAAAAAAGGAAAAUUAAAAAUGUGAAACUCAUAUAAAAGAGAAAAUGAAUGUAAUUGUAUCAAAAUUGCAUACAAAUAGUUGCUCAUAGUAUGUCGUGUUUCAAUGGCUUUUGUACCUUAGUAGUAUAGUUUUUUUUGAAAAUUACAGUUUUGGGGUACUUUUUCUUUUAUUUACCAAUCUAGUAUAAAUCGCCACUGACAGUGGCGAUUCUAUUUAUUUUUUUUAAUUUUUUUAAAGAAUCGCCAAUAGCAUUGGCGUUUUCAUUUUUUUUUCGUUUUUUUAUAUAAAUCGCCAACCAUGUUGGCGUUUUCUUAUUUUUUUUUCCUGACAAUCACCAACUAUGUUGGUUUUUUUACCUUUUUUUUUAAAUCACCCACACAUUUUUUUAAUUUUUUUAAAUUAGUAAUUAAAAUGGUAUUUAAUCAAUUGAUACUCACAAACAAUUUUGUGUCAUUACUCAUUUUUGCAACACUUUAAUCAUAAAUAUUUGAACUGAUAGUUAAAGAUAAACAUAUGCAUUACAUAAUUUAGUUGGGGAUGAAGAGUAUUGACCAUCUUACUCAGAUCCCAAUUGCAUGCCAAAUCCUCAAUUUAGGCGAGAACUUGCCGGUAGACCAAAUAAUUUAUUAUCAAAGUGCUGCAAAAGUGAGUAAUGACAUAAAAUUGUGUGUGAGCAUCAAUUGAUUAAAUACCAUUUUAAUUACUAAUUUUAAAAAAAAUUAAAAAAGCGUGUGGGCGAUUUAAAAAAAAAUAAAAAGGUAAAAAACGCCAACAUAGUUGGCGAUUGUUAGAAAUAACAAAAAUAAAAAAUAAGAAACGCCAACAUGGUUGGCGAUUUAUAGAAAAAACGAAAAAUAAAUAGAAUCGCCACUGACAGUGGCGAUUUAUACUAGAUUGAUAAAUAAAUAAAAAAGUACCCCAAAACUGUAAUUUCCAAAAAAAACUAUACUACUAGAGUACAAAAGCCUGUUUCAAUUGCUACCUAAAAAAUUGAUAGUUCACUCACUUUAUCAAUUUAAUUGAAGGAUUUAACUGUGAUUGGGUGGGUAAAAGAAUCAGGAAAAAAGCAGAGGUUUUCCUAUUCAUGUAUUGGACUUUCUCCAUGAAAAGAAGGGGGUGCGGCUGCGUGUUUGGUUGAAAGUUGAAACCAUGCAUUGAGCCAACCCCAAAGAAGUCCAUAAGGCCAUGUUUUUUAAAAUCUUUUUUUUUAUAAAAUGAAAUAAGAUAUAUAUAUAUAUAUAUAUAUAUCAAACCAACAAAAGCUAGCAUAAACCAAGACACUACAGCAAAAACCUCUAAAAAUCCACAGGCAACACCAAGCCAAACAGCUAGGAUAGUAAAGUUUCCAACAUUGUUACAUCCACAUAUAAACUUUCAAGAAUAAGAGAUCUCAAAAUUGUAAUCGGCAAAAUGUAAAAACCAAUUGUUGGAUAAAUAAACAAGGCAAGAGCUCACAACCAAAGGGAAACUUGUAAUAAUAACAAGAUGUAAGCAGCUCGAUGCUUCCAACUCCUUUCCAUUCGUCAAUGUUGUUGGUCUUUAUCAUGAAACUCCACCAUAAAAGAAUCAAUCUUGAAUCCUUUAAAUUUUUUGACUAAUUGAUCUAUUUGUCUCACAAAUUCCUCCCUGCAUUAAUCCAAAGUUUGUAUUUUAAAUUUUCAUAAUCCACCUCAAAAUUAAGAUAUCCUGUUUUACUCAUAUAGCUUUGACCAAAAAUAAAGAAAAUCAUAUGAAUAUGCAUUCAUUUACAUUACAUUUUUUUUCAGUUUCAUUUUCUCCUCAGAUGUCUCUUUUUUUCUUAUCUCGUAUUACAUACAUCACUUAUCUUUCUUAUAUGCAUCUUUCUCUUAGUGUGAGUGUAAAAGAAGUGUGAAUACACGCAACAUUUUCCGUAAGGGAGCAAGUCCACUAGUCCAAACGCAGCCAACCUAUAAAUAAAUAAUUUUAACUUUUGAGCAAUUUUUUAAAAGCAACUUCAAUUGUACUAUAAAACUAUGCUCCUUUAACAAAUUAAACUAAACUGUUCAUUUUUUCCGAUUAUAUUCCCGUAUGCAAUUUACAUUAGUUGAUGAUCAUGCAUGGAAUGGAAACAGCCUCGUCCUUAUUUCCAUGAAUAAAGCAGACACAUCACAGAUAUCCAUCUUCUUUUUAUGGUGGCUUUUAACCUUUCAUCUAAUUUAUUAUUAAUAUCCAGCUGCACUAAUAAUAGAAAUUGUUCAGUUUUCCCCCUUUUAUUAAACUUUUUUCGCUAAUGUGGUUGUAUAGCUAUAUAGUCCAUAGUCCUUUUCAGUUUUUCACUUUUUCUACAACAUUUUAUCAUAACUUUUAUUUGUGCUCUCUAUCUUUUAUAACAAUGUCUAAAAUAAUGUAGGCCCUUUUGUUCACUUGGCAAUCUUGUACUGCGCAGUUCUAUUUUGGAUCAUGGUAACUCAAAUUAUUUUCUUCCCAUUAUUAUUUGGGCAUUUUUCCAUGAAGCAAAGCAGAAAAAAUCUCCUACUCUCAUCUUUAAGGUUGAUUUUGAGAAAGCGUACGACUCGGUUAAAUGGGACUUUCUAUUCUACAUGUUCCGAAGAAUGGGCUUUCUGUCUAAGUGGAUUCAGUUGAUUAAGGGCUGCCUUGAGUCUUCCUGGAUUUCUAUUCUUAUCAAUGGGAGUCCUUCGGAGGAGUUCAGAAUGAGGAAGGGCCUAAGACAAGGGGAUCCCUUGGCGCCUUUCCUCUUCCUGAUUGUUGCAGAAGGUUUAAAUGGGCUCAUGAAGCAGGCUCAAUCAAAAUAAAUUCUCUCCUUGCUUGGUUGGCCGAUGUAACCCUGUUAGUGUGUCGUUAUUACAAUUUGCAGACGAUACUCUCUUUCUUGGAGAAGCUUCUCUUUCGAAUGUUUUUCUUAUCAAAAGUGUAUUAUGCUGUUUUGAAUUAAUCUCUGGCCUAAAAGUUAAUUUUUCGAAGAGUAAGCUUCUUGGAGUUGCUGUAAAUGAGAGGGUUUGUAGAAGAUUUGCAGCACUGUUGAAUUGCAAAAUUAUGACAGCUCCGUUCAUUUAUCUUGGCCUCCCUAUUGGCGAUAACUCGAGACGUGUGAAAUUCUGGGAUCCUGUGAUUGCCAAGGUUAAACAGAGACUUUCUAGCUGGAGAAGGCGCACCCUGUCAUUUGGUGGUAAGUUAUGCCUGAUUAAGAGCAUUCUUUCUGCCCUUCCCCUUUACUAUAUUUAUGUUUUCCGUAUGCCUUCCGGAGUUGUAAAAAGAUGUAUUAGCCUUAUGAGGUCUUUUUUGUGGGGAGGUGUGGAGGGAGAAAAUAAAAUUACAUGGGUCAACUGGGACAAGGUUUGUAGACCUAUUGAAGAGGGGGGUCUUGGGGUGAGGGACUUGGGAAAAUUUAAUAAAGCCUUAUUAGGUAAGUGGAGAUGGAGAAUGUCUUUAGAGGGAGAGAAUUUCUGGUGUAGGCUGUUACAUGCGAAGUAUGAGGAUGAUGUUCCUAAUCACUCCUCGAUCUGGUGGAAAGAUCUUCACUCCUUGUGUUUUGGAAGAGGGGAAGGUAAGUGGUAUGGUGAAGGAAUUCGCUGGAAGCUUGGGGAUGGAGGUAAGGUAAAAUUCUGGUCUGAUAUUUGGAUUGGAUGAGCCCCUGUGUCGCGUUUUUAGUCCUUUAUUUCAAGUGUCAGCUCAACAGAAUCUUAAAAUUCUAGAGAUGGGCGAGUUGAGUGAUUCUAGCUGGGUGUGGUGUUUUUCUUGGCAGUCCCCUUUGGAUUCAACACUAGGACGACUUUUAGUAGAUAUGCAGCAAAUGAUAAACUGUUUUGUGCCCUCCAGGGGUAGGUUCGAUUCUUGGAAAUGGAUUCCUGACCAACAUGGAAAUUUUUCAGGCAAGUCUGCCUAUGAUUUUCUACAUGGAUGUGUCAAUGCUCAAUGGGAUAACAUUUUUAAGCUGUUGUGGUCUGUCAAGGUCCCAUCAAAUGCGAUUGCAUUGAGCUGGAAAGUGCUUAUUAAUAUGGUCCAAACCAAGGUGAACCUGAAUCGAAGAGGAGUUGUAGUUUCAAAUGUUUGUCCCUUGUGUUCUUUGGACGAGGAAAGUACAGAUCACUUGUUCUUCUCUUGUCCGGUUGCUUGGAGAAUUUGGUCAAAAAUCUCCGAGUGGUUUGGUGUUCUCUCAGUAUUUCCUAAUGACAGCCAUGGCCAUUUUCUUCAACACCUAGGUUCAUNNNNNNNNNNNNNNNNNNNNNNNNNNNNNNNNNNNNNNNNNNNNNNNNNNNNNNNNNNNNNNNNNNNNNNNNNNNNNNNNNNNNNNNNNNNNNNNNNNNNNNNNNNNNNNNNNNNNNNNNNNNNNNNNNNNNNNNNNNNNNNNNNNNNNNNNNNNNNNNNNNNNNNNNNNNNNNNNNNNNNNNNNNNNNNNNNNNNNNNNNNNNNNNNNNNNNNNNNNNNNNNNNNNNNNNNNNNNNNNNNNNNNNNNNNNNNNNNNNNNNNNNNNNNNNNNNNNNNNNNNNNNNNNNNNNNNNNNNNNNNNNNNNNNNNNNNNNNNNNNNNNNNNNNNNNNNNNNNNNNNNNNNNNNNNNNNNNNNNNNNNNNNNNNNNNNNNNNNNNNNNNNNNNNNNNNNNNNNNNNNNNNNNNNNNNNNNNNNNNNNNNNNNNNNNNNNNNNNNNNNNNNNNNNNNNNNNNNNNNNNNNNNNNNNNNNNNNNNNNNNNNNNNNNNNNNNNNNNNNNNNNNNNNNNNNNNNNNNNNNNNNNNNNNNNNNNNNNNNNNNNNNNNNNNNNNNNNNNNNNNNNNNNNNNNNNNNNNNNNNNNNNNNNNNNNNNNNNNNNNNNNNNNNNNNNNNNNNNNNNNNNNNNNNNNNNNNNNNNNNNNNNNNNNNNNNNNNNNNNNNNNNNNNNNNNNNNNNNNNNNNNNNNNNNNNNNNNNNNNNNNNNNNNNNNNNNNNNNNNNNNNNNNNNNNNNNNNNNNNNNNNNNNNNNNNNNNNNNNNNNNNNNNNNNNNNNNNNNNNNNNNNNNNNNNNNNNNNNNNNNNNNNNNNNNNNNNNNNNNNNNNNNNNNNNNNNNNNNNNNNNNNNNNNNNNNNNNNNNNNNNNNNNNNNNNNNNNNNNNNNNNNNNNNNNNNNNNNNNNNNNNNNNNNNNNNNNNNNNNNNNNNNNNNNNNNNNNNNNNNNNNNNNNNNNNNNNNNNNNNNNNNNNNNNNNNNNNNNNNNNNNNNNNNNNNNNNNNNNNNUUCCAAGACAAGUGUUUCGACACGAAACCCUAGACUAUACAAACGAUCGAUUUCAAUUGUCGGAAGUUGCCGAAACCGAGUUCCUGAUAACUCAAGAACCUUAAAACGAACUGUAGAUGAAGACUUUUUUAUUCGGAGCUUCAAACGAAGAUUCUACACGCGUACACCCAUUUCUUUCGAUGUUUUCGACCUUUCUUCAGAAGGAAGUUUUCUCUUCCGACAUCAACUGCAAAAAGUAACUUUUCGGGUUGAAUCGAUUAACACCGUUAGUGAAUCGAUUAACACCGUUAGUGAAUCGUUUGCUUAAAUUCCAAGUAACCUGCUUCAAGUUCUGGAAUUCUGUCGCCGGAUUCUAUCUUAUAAUUCACAGAGGAAUGUGCAGGAAAAAUCGGAAUCGCAAAAUUUUCAUUUUCCCGCGUUUUCCAUCUCCUAUAAAUAGGAGAAAAACUCAAAAAUCCUCACCAUUCAAGCACCAAACCCGCGACCAAGGAGGAGAAAAAGGGAGGAGAGCUUUUCUCCGAUUCUUGCCUGAUCGUCGCACUGACAGUUGUUAUACGUAGGCCUCGAGGUACUGAUGCUUUUCCCUACCUCUGAUCGUAAAUUAUGUCGCUUUUCUCUAUGUCUUUCUGUGCUCAAAGUUUUGAGCUUUUGUAAAACUGUCCAAAUAACUUGAUUUCAGUGUCUAAACUUAUUGCCUACAUGCCCAAGAGCAUGAAUAUCCGGUUGUUUUCUGCUGAAUCUCGUCGAAUCGUCGCAGAGCUUCAAUUCUGUGAAAAUACCCAUUUACUAACCAAAGCUUCGUUCUUUGGAUUAAAAACAUUCGACUGAGCUUAGUGUUAGUAGGAUUAGUUGUUAUAAAUGUCGUUAGGAACACGCUCAUCAAAUUUAUUUCUCAAAAUUCCGACUUUGAGUUUUCGGGCUAAAAACACUGACCAAAAUACCCCUGUGUUAGUUUUCGACCCGAUAAUUUUUCUAAGAGUUUCCCUGGCCUAAAUUAGAUCGAAGAAAAAGUUUGGGAAACCCUAUUUUGAUAGUGGCCGAAACUUAUUUGCUGUGGUACUGUAUCCAAAAAUAAUUUUUGGGUAGGUAUGACCUGAGUUAUAGCGUAGCUCUCUCCGUUGUCGAAAUUUGGGCCNNNNNNNNNNNNNNNNNNNNNNNNNNNNNNNNNNNNNNNNNNNNNNNNNNNNNNNNNNNNNNNNNNNNNNNNNNNNNNNNNNNNNNNNNNNNNNNNNNNNNNNNNNNNNNNNNNNNNNNNNNNNNNNNNNNNNNNNNNNNNNNNNNNNNNNNNNNNNNNNNNNNNNNNNNNNNNNNNNNNNNNNNNNNNNNNNNNNNNNNNNUUUAAAUUUGAUUGACAUUUAAUUAUGGCUAUUGAACUUAUUGAGACGUGUGUCUCCGUUUUCUGAGAGGCUUCGACCGUUUACUGGUUUCUGUCAUUACUGCUUUGUAGUGGAUAAGACAUGGUUAUUGUUGAUACUUGACUUGAUUAUUGAAUUUGGAAUUGUUGAUUGAGUGACCACAGAGCUUGAUUAUGUCGUUGACUAACUUGGCAUAUAGCACUUGAACUUGAAGUGGCAAUGUGGUGGCGAUGGUCCCACGUGAUUGUCCCGUCUUUCGAGGCGUUAUAAAGUGGCGAUGUGGUGGAUAUUGUCCCCCGUGAUCGUUCCAUCUUUCGAGAUGUCCUAAAGUGGCAAUGUAGUGGCGAUGGUCCCACAUGAUUGUCUCCUCCAUAGUGGCGUUAAGUGGCGGUGUGGUGGAUGUUGUCCCACGUGAUCGUCCCAUCUUGCGAGAUGUCCUAAAGUGGCAAUGUGGUGGAUGUUGUCCCACGUGAUUGUCUCAACCUAUGAGACGCUAAAGUGGCAUUGUCCCGUUUUGCGAGACGUUAUUGAUCGAUCCAUAUUGGUAGAAGCAUAUAGUCGCAUUAUAGGACACUAACAUUUGAUUCUGUUUAUAUCUGCUCUAAUUAUAUGUCGUUGAUUCUAUGAUAUCUGCUUUAAUUCUAUUUCUUUGAUUCUAUGAUAUGUGCUUUAAUUCUAUGUUGUUGAUUAUGCUAUUAUAUGAUUCAAUUAUAUGUUGCUGAUUUUAUUGAUAUCUUUCUUGAAACAUAUUGUUAACUUAUUUAUCGGAAUGUUUUGGAGCUCUGGAAGUGGCGAUGUGGUGGAUAUUGUCCCACGUGAUCGUCCCGUCUUUCGAGACGUUAUUAAGUAGCAGUGUGGUGGAUAUUGUCCCACGUGGAUAUUUUCAAGACGUUAUUAAGUGCACUUAAAUUUGAAUAGCAUGUUUUUCUCUUUUAUAUGUGGUAGUUGUAUGGAGUUAACCCUUUCUGUUUGCUACUUGUUGUUUAAGCGCUUAACGCUAUUAGGCGAUGGAGAGUCUUCCGACGAUGCUUAGCCAUGCACGAGAUGGAGGAGGGAUAGAAAGCUGCGGAGCAGAGAUAGAAGAAGCUGGCUGGUUAUUGUUUAGUAGUUUAUGUUUUGAGUCUUCUUCAUCUUCUGAAAACUCUAUUACUAAAACCCUGUUUCGCCACUGUUUAAGUGUGCGUAUUGAUUUUGGAACCCUGCUUAUGUUAUUGCAAGAUACUACUAUUAUUAUAUGUCGGGAAUUGGAAGUUUAAUUAAGGCCAUGUUAUGUUUCAAACCCUAUGGUUGAAGUGUUUAGUUGUCUUUCAAGAAAAAAAUAUAUCCUUUCUCUUUAGGAUUGCAAACUAGUCAUUAGACUUUGAUAGAUUCCUAAUGUGACUCCUCGGUUGAGAAAUCGGGGCGUUACAAGAAACAUAAAAAUCGUGACAAUGUUUGGAUAUUUAGUAAUACAAGUGUUAAUGAACAUUAACACACUCAUAAAGUAAAAAUAAAUGAUAAUUUAAUGAUAAAUUGUGAUGAAAAUCCUCUUACAUUUUACUUAACUAGUACUAAUAUUCAAGCCCACACUACUUUUUAGUUCCAACUUUUAUAAGGAAGCAAAUGGUUUUCCAAAGUAACCUUUCACUGUAAAAAUCUAGUACUAUAAUGUACACCCGUGCGAUGCACAUGUUAAAAUUGUCUUUUUAUGGUGAAAUUAAUAAGAGAAAAUUAAAUGAAAAAUCAAUUGGGAAUAUUCAAUUUUUAGUUUAAUAAAAACAUACACGCUCAAUUGUGCUUAUACAAUUUUAGUUAAAGUGGAAAUAAAAUGAAACAAUAAGAAGAUUUUGUGUCAUGAACAGAUCAUUAUAUUUAUAAAACUAAAAAUAAAAAAAUCAAAUAUUUAUCUAAACUUAUGAAAAACAUCUAAAAUUAUAUAGAAAUUUAUUUCGGUUAAAUAUGUUCGAGGUCCUUGAACUGUAGCAAGAAAUCGAAAUAGAGAUUUGAAGACAAAAUCCAGAAUUUCACCUUACCAUUUACCAACCAAAAAACGAAACUUAACGCCAACCAUAAAACCUAUACCCACCAUAGUUACCCAUUACAUAAACCUCCCCAUCGCAAUAAUUGUUGUCAAAACAUCAAUCACAAUCCAUGACAACCCCAAACCAAACAUGAGCUGUUUCACAAGUUUUGUUUCUUCUAUCUGCAUCCUCUGAUCUACCAAAUGCUCAAUCUACAGCUUCAUCAAUUUCUUCUCUGCUUUCCUCAAUUCAUGGUGAAUGAACAUUCUCAUUGAAAUUUGCAGAUUCAAAAUCCUCCUCCUCCUCAUCAAGCCAUUUGAAAUAGUCACAACCUGAAGACAACAAAGCACAUAUGGAGGGUGCUAAGAACAUUCACACACAAUGAUAUUGAAAUUCAACAAAAGAAAACAAAGAAGAAAGAAGGGGUAGAAAUCACACACGUACCAGUAAGGGCAGCUACAAAACUUUCUCCCUGGGUUGAUGUCAGUGUGUGAUGUAUAUAGGCACAACCUUCAACUCGUAUUUGCAACUCCUCCUUGAUGUACCCCGACUUGCAGAAGAUGAGCUACAACAUUUGGAAGAAGAAUAGUCGUACUUCAUGUGCUCUGGAUCGUCGUGCACCAUAGGGGCGGAGGCACCGGGUGGCUCACCGGUGCCGCCGCGUCCCCCAUUUUUUUUAUUUUCAUCCUAAAAAUAUGUAUAUUUUUCUUUUAGCCCCAAUGAAAAAUUAACUAAAUAUUAUCGGGUGUAGCUCAUAUAAAUUAACACAUGGUGGUGUGUUGGUUUGCACUUGCAAAUUUCUUACCACGUCCCCGGUUCGAAUCCUUAGUGCAACAUUUAAUUUUCAUUUUUGGACAAAAAGGUUAUAAAAAAUGCUUUGAAUAGGAUUCGAACCUCCUAUUGACGAUUUAUUGUAUUUAUACAUAUAAGAAUAUCAUCAUUGGGUAUGUUUGACAAAACUUAUGAGUUGGUUUUUUUGACGGGUUAGUAUUUCUUAUACUCAAAUUAAUUAUAUAUCUCGUCUGCUUAUAAAAAUUAUGAAAUAUAUUAAUUGACUUACACAUGUGGAGUCACUUGGAUGAUUGUUUUAUAAAGUUAUAUUUGAUAUAAUAUGAAGUUUGUUAAAAUGAAGGAUAAAAGGUUGAAUAUGUGUAUAAAAUUAUACGUAAAAUAUGUUCAAAAAAUUAAUAUUGUUUAGAUAAAAAAAAAAGUUAAAUGAUUUUUUAUUUAAUAUUUGGCCACCCCACCCAGUGCCAAUAUCCUGGCUCCGCCCCUGACCACCUCCUCCAGUAUGCGUUGUCGAACAAUUCCUCUGCUUUGCCUCCGUCUUCGUCCUCUACCAAACUUCAACCUUCUCUUACAGGAACCCUAGAAAAUGGAGACUGGGGGAAAUCCAAUCCGAUAUCAUCGAGGAAGGAGAAGGAAACUGGGAAAAGAAGGGGAAAAAUAUAUAAAGUAAUUACUUAUGUUAAGUGGAAAAAAAGUUAUUUCAAAAAUAAAAUAAAUGACAUGUCAUCACUUACAGAUGCCAUGUAAGCACAACAAGCGGUAAAGGGAUGAGAGCCAACCGGUUUCCUAAGCUUAAGAUGGCAACCAAUGAAAUUUUUGUUUAUGGACGUAUAUCAAUUUGUCACUAUAGUUCACGGACCUCGAACAUAUUUAACCCAAUUUAUUUUUGGUUAUUUAUAACUUGAAAAUAUUUUAACAUAAAUGUUCUUCCCAUUGCAAUCUCUAUUUUCACAAUCAAGUUGUAAUGCUUUUAUAUAUCUACUCUUAAAAUUAUUUUAAAAGAAUGGAAAGUACUAAAAAUAUAUUAAAACAUAUUUUUCAAUCAGUUUCAACUUGAAAGUAUUUUCAUGUAAAAUGUCUCUUCCCGUAGGAGCUUUUUACUGUGUAAUAAAUAAAUAUAGAGUUAAUAUGUUAAUUUAUUCCAAUCCUUGUAUGACAACUUUUUAGCAUCAUAAUUCCAUAUUUUUAUAUAUAUUUACUUUUAAACAUGUGAAAAGGAAAAUCUUAAAUCACAUAGAAAUUUAUUUUAUGUUAUUUUUAACUUGGAAAUGUUUUAAUGUAAAUGUUGUUCCCCGUGGGAGACAUAUUAAAGAAGUUUUUAUUUAAUUUAAUAAAUAAAUACAUUUAUUAAAUUUACUUAAUGAAUUUUAAUUUAUUUGAUUCAAAUAAUUGAAGAAAAGAAUCAAUGUAGACUUCAAUUUAAUUUAUUCAUGCAUAAUACUCCAUGAGAAAAGUUGUUAUUUAUUUUAGAUAAGUAAACAAAUCUAUUUAUCAAAUUUAUUUGAUGCAUUAUGACUUAUUUUCUCUUUUAAUUUGAUUCAAAUAAUUGAAGUUUUUAGAUUUUAUUUAAUUAUUGAAUUUACUUGAUGCAUUAUGAUUUAUUUGGUUUCUUUUAUCGUGACUCAAGCAUUUGAGCUUAGGAUUAUCAAACCAAUCUUAACAGUAGGAUUGAUUUUGUUUAAAUUUUUUUAAACAAUUACAUGCAAAUCUUUGGUUCAAUUCAAAAUUUCAUAUCAACACCAAACACUACACUGAGAAAAAGCUUAAAUUCAAGUCUUUUAAUUUAAUUUCGCCUAUUAAAUAGCAAAAGAGAAAAAAGAAUGGAAAAUGAGAAAAAGCUGGAGGAUCCCAAACACUAAAAUGCAAAUAUUAGAUCUACUUAAUUAUACAUAGAAAUUAGGAUUAAACAUACAAAAGCAACUCAGGAAGAUAAAACAGACAAAGGGUGAACAACACCCAAUCUGGUAAACACAUCAUUCAUAACUAAACCUAGAUUCAAACUUUGGCUACCCUAAUCCACAUGACCAAUCCUGGCUUCAGGAUUUGUAAACCUGUGUGAUCUCCUCAAAUGGCAACAAAUUGAUAACUUCACAAAAGUUUCUCCAACCUCGACCAAUUUUGACAUAAUUUCGGUUUGGGGGCAUGUUGAUUCGGCACUCAAUCUCCGCACCGGAAGGCCCAAUAAAGAUCCAGCUAUCAACAACGACUUUCCUAAGAUAGGCAGCAACAAAGAAAGGAAUAUGUUGCACGUAAAAUAAGUGAAGACAAUUUUUUUUCGAAAAUGAAAGAUAGAAUAAAAUAGAUAAACAAGUCUGAGAACAACCUACUCAGAGAUAGGCUAAACAGAAACAAAAAGUAACAAGAAAAAUAGAAAGAAAACAGAACAGAAAUAAACAAACGGAACCAGGGUAACAGAAACAAUAAAAAUCAUGGCUAACUAGAAGCAGGGACAGCAGCUGCAGGCGUAAAAAACACGCGGGCAAACCCGGGAAGACAAAGAAAGCCAUCCAAAUCAGAGGAGAAAAGAGUGAAUUCCACCAGAAUUUUAAACUGGCAGCGAAGCCCAGAUAGGAGAUUGUCUAAAACAUCCGGUUUUGGCCAGAUAAUCAGCAAGACAGUUUGACUCUCUAAAAAUAUGAUUGAUCCCAAUGCAGUCUACGUCAAGGCAAAGCAAGUCAAUGAGGUUGAGAUCUUGAAUCAAUUUCCAAGGCCUAUUGAAUUUAUUAUUGACCCAUUCAACUGCAAGGGUAGAGUCACUCUCUACUAAAAUAUGCUUCAACCCAAACUGGCUGUAGAAGAUCAGCGCAUGGAGAAUUGCCUUGACUUCGGCUUCAUAGGCCCAUAAACUACCAGUUGAUUUGGAAAAGAAGCCUAGAGUUUGUCUACUUGAAUUUUUAACAAUUCCUCCUAUCCCAUUGCUGCCUGGAGUCCCAUGAGAUGACCCGUCCACAUUAAAUUUUAGAACUCCCUCAGGGGGGAGGGUGCCAUAGGUUGGAGCGAGUCUUUGAUUUGGAAUAAUGUAUUCUCACCUCAGAAAAAUUCAGCAGGAAAUAUGUACCAUUAUAUGGAUAAUCAAUCCACCAGGCUUUGGUCCACCACGCUAUCCUUGAGAUAUGUAGAUCCCAAACCAUCUCCGCAUUGAAAUCUUUAUCCUGAAAUAUCAACUCGUUUCUGGCCAGCCAAAUUGACCAGCAUAAGGCAAAGGGGAUUAAUUCCCAGAGCAUAUGAUCAGUUUUCACUCUUAAAGUGGUCCACUCUUCCAUUAAAUCGUGCAAGGAUUGGGGGCAGCACCACAACA